UUUCCGUAGGUGAACCUGCGGAAGGAUCAUUAAAAAUUGGACUCCAUUGGUGAGUUCAUUAAUAAUCCCUACCCUUUGUGAAUUUGUUUGUUUGAAUAAUUUUUUUCCAAAAAAAAAUUUAUUGAAUGUCUUUCCCUGUUUUGGUGGAGCUUGUAAAGUGAAACCAGGCAGGGGAAUGGCAAACAAUAAUUAUUUUUUGAAAAAAGACCUUUUUUAAAAUUAAACUUUUUGUAUUCAUUUGUCUAAAAUUAUUUUUAUAAUAUAAAAACAACUUUUGACAAUGGAUCUCUUGGUUCUCGCAACGAUGAAGAACGCAGCAAAAUGCGAUAAGUAGUGUGAAUUGCAGAAUACGUGAAUCAUCGAAUCUUCGAACGCAUAUUGCACUUUUUUAGUUUACUAAAAAAGUAUGUCUGUUUGAGUAUCAGUAAAAUAUUCUCAUAAAAAACAUUGUUUUUUUAUGGUUAUGAGUGUUUUACAACGAUAACAAGUUGUUUCACUUUAAAUUCUUUGUUAUCAAAAAAAUCAUUAAAAGCUAAUUUUAAAGAUUUUUUAAAAUUGGAUAAAAUUUUCCCGUAAAAAGGAAUAACCUAAACAAUUUUAAAAAAAUUAAAAUUGGUUUGAUUUUUUUUGAAACCCAAAGGAAAAAAAAACGAAAUUAACUUGAUCUCAAAUCAGAUAAGAGUACCCGCUGAACUUAAGCAUAUCAAUAAGCGGAGGAAAAGAAACUAACUAGGAUUCCCUCAGUAACGGCGAGUGAAGCGGGAAGAGCUCAAAUUUGAAAUCUUCAAGGUUUUACCUUGACGAAUUGUAGUUUAAAGAAGUGUUUUCUGUUGGAGUUUUGGUAAAAGUUCUUUGGAAAAGGACAUCAUAGAGGGUGAGAAUCCCGUAUUUGACCAUUAUCUCCAGCUUUGUGAUACACUUUCAAAGAGUCGGAUUGUUUGGGAAUGCAGUCCAAAAUGGGUGGUAAAUUUCAUCUAAAGCUAAAUACUGGCGAGAGACCGAUAGCGAACAAGUACCGUGAGGGAAAGAUGAAAAGAACUUUGAAAAGAGAGUUAAACAGUACGUGAAAUUGUCAAAAGGGAAGCGUUUGACACCAGUGUUGUUUUCUCGAAAAUCAAUUAAAAAAGGCCGGAUUUUGUGUUGUAUUAACUUUAUCAGCUUUCUGCACUUUUUUCUUGUCUUUUUUAAUGCACUUUUCGUUUAACAAGUCAACAUCAAUUUCUUUUGUUGUAAAAGGGUCAUUGGAAGGUGGCUUUCUUUUCGGAGAAAGUGUUUAUAGCCUUUGGCCUCUGCAAUCGGAGAGAUUGAGGUCUGCAGCGUAGAUCCUUCGGGGUUAGAUACAUUUGUGCUAAGUUAUAGCCUUUCAUAGACAACUUGUUGACUAUGAUCAGUCAUGUAGCUUACUCGCUUAUGCUAUUU
rnacentral:misc_RNA from 1 species